CAUAAAGGACAUUGUUCAAUUUUGGCCUAAGAACCGAUGUGAAUAUAAAUUAUACUAUAAUUUUCAUUUAAUUUUUUAUUGUUUGAAACAUAUUUUAGUUCUCCACGGACACUUCAAAUAAAUAAAUUCCAAAUAAAAAGUUGGGUCACAAUUAUUGAUGUCUUAUAAAAUGUUUCCGUCAGCCAGUGCUGCCAGUUUCGGAAGUUUUCGCGAUUUCGGUAAAUACGGACCGAAUUGAGAACCUCCUUUCCGAAGUCUGUUAUUAAAAUUAGUUGCUAACACUUUAUUCAUUUAAAUACCUAAAUUGACUAGCUAGAAAAAAACUAGUAUUCUAUAUGUUUUAAGCGAAAUCGCGAAUUUCUAGCUUGGCAUUCGAGUAGGAUUAUAGUUUUCGUAAUUGGCAACACUGGUGUACUUCAGUCAGUUUGCUAGAAGUCAGUUUGAUUGCUUUGCGACUAUCGUUUCUUUUGUGAUUUUCUAUGCGUUUCAUGGUUUUAUUCUAACAACUUUGGCUUGAUUACGGACUCCGAUUAGAUUGCGUACUUGGUAGACUGGAGGACUGGAUUUUCCUGGCAUUUUGGGAUAUUGCUCUGUCUGUGAUCGAAUUUAGUUGUAUUAUAAUUACAACAAUGGAUGCAGAAUAUAGUAUAUUGUAUAAAUUGUGGAUCUGCUGGAGGUUCUUUGGUAUUAGAAAACGAAGAUAUACUUCGUUGCAUACAACAAUGGACUGUUCCCCGUAUGGUUGAAGCUCAUGACCUUAUAUGUACGAUGUGUUGGUCUGAAGCAGUCGAGCAUAAUAAGAUGCAAUGCACUGUUGGACGCAAUUGUGUACUUUGUAAGAAGCUCUUACCAUCAGGCGUUACUGUUGCAAUUGUAUCGUUGGGCGUAGAACAGUGGGCUGUUGUGCCCACAUAAUGACUAUAAUUUGGUAUUUAAGCUGGGCGAGAUACCAAAAUUCAAUUGAACCCCCUGCUCAGUUCUUAGAUAAUAUAUUAUUGAGAAAUAUUGAUGAUUAAAAACCUUUAAUUGAAUAUAAA
rnacentral:lncRNA from 1 species